UCAGCAGUAUUAGAGGAUACUUAACCUAAAGCUAUUAAAUCAGUUUCCAAAGAAAGAAUUUUGAUUACUUUUAAAAUAGCUAAUUGGCAAAGAACCUCGAAUAUUUUUGUAGAGCUAUUUCACUAAGUAAUGGAACUUAUAGUUGUAAUAGUAUUUUUUGUCUUUCGUUUACUGCCAUUUCACUGCUAUUGAGCAAAAAUGAAAAUAAUUAUGACGUGUUCUUGACAUUAGUUAUGAAUUUGUGAUGCGGUUUUUACACCUGACGCCUGUACAUAUUUGUGAUGCUUUUCUUUGAAGUUUCAUCAAAAUCAAAAGUA